AUACCCAAAUCCAGGACCAUUUUACUUCAAGUGGAAUACACACACAGAGCAAACAUUCUCAAGUCUUACAAAAUGGCCAGACCUCAUCCAAUUGGCUGAAGAUCCACCUAAGAGGACUGAAUGCGCGAUCCUGCUGCAAGAGGCAUGGUGGACGCCUACCCAGUGGGUUAGAAGAGGUUGAGCAACACAAGUCUUCCACACCAGGUGACUUAAAGACAACAGUGAGGAUAUCCAUAUUCUGGAGGUUGGAUCUCUGGGAAAGCUGGUCACUGGCUUCUGCCUGGCAUGAAGGGUA